AAGUCCCGCAAGGGAUAAGUAGAGUGGCAAACGGGUGAGUAACGCGUGGGCGACCUACCUUCGAGUGGGGGAUAACCUUCCGAAAGGAGGGCUAAUACCGCAUGACAUCCCGUGUUUGGAUACACGGACAUCAAAGCCGGGGAUCGUAAGACCUGGCGCUUGAAGAGGGGCCCGCGUCCGAUUAGCUAGUUGGUGAGGUAACGGCUCACCAAGGCUCCGAUCGGUAUCCGGCCUGAGAGGGCGGACGGACACACUGGAACUGAGACACGGUCCAGACUCCUACGGGAGGCAGCAGUGGGGAAUUGUUCGCAAUGGGCGCAAGCCUGACGACGCAACGCCGCGUGGAGGAUGAAGACCUUCGGG
rnacentral:rRNA from 1 species